GACGAACGCUGGCGGCGUGCUUAACACAUGCAAGUCGAGCGAUGAAGCUCCUUCGGGAGUGGAUUAGCGGCGGACGGGUGAGUAACACGUGGGUAACCUGCCUCAUAGAGGGGAAUAGCCUUCCGAAAGGAAGAUUAAUACCGCAUAAGAUUGUAGUGCUGCAUGGUACAGCAAUUAAAGGAGUAAUCCGCUAUGAGAUGGACCCGCGUCGCAUUAGCUAGUUGGUGAGGUAACGGCUCACCAAGGCGACGAUGCGUAGCCGACCUGAGAGGGUGAUCGGCCACAUUGGGACUGAGACACGGCCCAGACUCCUACGGGAGGCAGCAGUGGGGAAUAUUGCACAAUGGGGGAAACCCUGAUGCAGCAACGCCGCGUGAGUGAUGACGGUCUUCGGAUUGUAAAACUCUGUCUUCAGGGACGAUAAUGACGGUACCUGAGGAGGAAGCCACGGCUAACUACGUGCCAGCCGCCGCCGUAACAC
rnacentral:rRNA from 1 species